CCUACGGGUCGCAGCAGUGGGGAAUAUUGGACAAUGGGCGAAAGCCUGAUCCAGCCAUGCCGCGUGUGUGAAGAAGGCCUUCGGGUUGUAAAGCACUUUCAGUGGGGAAGAAAGCCUUGGGGCUAAUACCCUCGAGGAAGGACAUCACCCACAGAAGAAGCACCGGCUAACUCCGUGCCAGCAGCCGCGGUAAUACGGAGGGUGCGAGCGUUAAUCGGAAUUACUGGGCGUAAAGCGCGCGUAGGCGGUCUGAUAAGCCGGUUGUGAAAGCCCCUGGCUCAACCUGGGAACGGCAUCCGGAACUGUCAGGCUAGAGUGCAGGAGAGGAAGGUAGAAUUCCCGGUGUAGCGGUGAAAUGCGUAGAGAUCGGGAGGAAUACCAGUGGCGAAGGCGGCCUUCUGGACUGACACUGACGCUGAGGUGCGAAAGCGUGGGUAGCAAACAGGAUUAGAUACCCGGGUAGUC
rnacentral:rRNA from 1 species